rnacentral:rRNA from 1 species
GACGAACGCUGGCGGCGUGCUUAACACAUGCAAGUCGAGCGAUGAAAGCCUUAUGAACUAUUCGUAGUGAUUGGGGCCGGAUAGCGGCGGACGGGUGAGUAACGCGUGAGCAACCUGCCUUAAACAACGGGAUAGCCUCGGGAAACCGGGAUUAAUACCGUAUGAGACCCCGCCUUCACAUGAAGAAGAGGUUAAAGAUUUAUCGGCUUAAGAUGGGCUCGCGUCUGAUUAGCUAGUUGGUGAGAUAAAAGCCCACCAAGGCAACGAUCAGUAACCGGCUUGGGAGAGUGAACGGUCACAUUGGAACUGAGACACGGUCCAAACUCCUACGGGAGGCAGCAGUGGGGAAUAUUGCACAAUGGGGGAAACCCUGAUGCAGCGACGCCGCGUGAGCGAUGAAGGAAUUCGUUUCGUAAAGCUCUGUCCAAGGGGAAGAUAAUGACAGUACCCUUGGAGGAAGCCCCGGCUAAAUACGUGCCAGCCGCCGCGGUAAAAC